GGGGCUGGGGCUCCAUGGUAGAGCGCUUGCCUCACAUGUGUGAGACACUGAGUUCGAUUCUCAGCACCUCA
rfam:Ictidomys tridecemlineatus contig102896, whole genome shotgun sequence.